UUGUUUAUUUUUGCGAUAGUUAUGGAAAAGCGUGAAAAUGUAAAUGUCUUGUAACAAUUAAAUGUGUUGAUUGCAGUGCUGACUAGGCGAAGGCAGGUCGUAAAACAAGUACAAUGAUGCAGUUAAGUCAUAAUCUACAAUACGUGUACGUGGUGAUGGGUGUACGUGCGGCGGACGCUCACAAGGGUCUCGGUCGUGACAGGCUGAAUCGGAUAUUUCAAAAAGUGUAAUUUACAACCUAUUGCUUUGGAGAUGAAAAGACCGUAUCGGUGGCCGCGCCGGGAACAGGACCUAGUGGAAAAUGCGUUUAUGUACAAAAAGAAAUUAUUCGAUAUUUAAGACGUACAUUGUGUACGUGUGUGUGCAGUCGUGUUGAAUUCGGUAGCAGAUUAGGGAGAUCGUAAUUUAGCGGUUAAUUGGACACCACCAAACAGGACCGGGGCGGGGGACAUGGCGGCCAAGAGGUAACUCUACACCAGCAACACCCACCGCCGACAAAGACACCGCCGCCACGCGUGUAUAUACAUUCUUUGGGUUUAUAGCUUCUACGAAAAUUGUCGGAAACCUUCAUCAGUACGGGGAACAUGAAAUUCGCCCUAUGUCUAUCAGAACUUGAACUUAAUACAAAAAUUCUUUAUCGUUUUUAUUUGGUUUUAGCUUAUUCGACCCACAAUAGUAUUUUAUUUGAAACGAGCAAACCGCUUACAAAAAAAAAAAUAA